GAUCGUACAUUGUGCGUUAUGAGUCGAUGCACGCACUAUGCCGCAGAAAUACAAGCAAAUUGUCUCUAAUGCCUAACAAUGGGAAGCUAGGAGAGCAAAAGCAUUAAAUUAAUUAUUUUGCAAUUUAGCACGACCUUUGCACGCACUGCUGGAGGUCUAGUAACGUUGCUGCCGGACAUUCGCCAUUUUUUCGUUAUGCUUUCGGUAUCGGUUACGUCAUUUUCUUUCGCAUACAAAGAUGCUUUAUUUUUCAGUUAUAUCUAUUAGUACACUGUUGAAAAUGCGUAACUUUUAACUUGCUGAUGUAUUACGACAGUUUAUAAAGAAAAAGAGAAGCUUGAACUCGCAAUAGCUUUGACUUCGCAUCGCCACUUAUAUCAAUUCAGCAACACGCGCCUCGAUGCAAGUGCGCAGCAAUGUUCCGAGCGCGAGCAGCGUGUGCUUUAUUUGUGUCUUUUCGACUUUUGUGGGGUUGACCAUGGCCCAAGUACGUAUAUACUAGGCAGAACUGUAUAGUUGCGUGCUGAAAUGUAGAGCUGUGCUUCUGACUGCUAUUUGUGGUACGUUUGUUCGCCUUGCGGAGCGCUUACGGGAAUGUUCUGGAGGCAAUGUUUUGAUGGUUAAUUUUCGCACAUGUUUGUAUCACUUGGUUUCCGGCGUUCCUCUUCAAGUGUCGGGGAUAUUUCUCAUUUGCAAAGCCUAUCUCUAAGUCUCUGGCAGCAUUAUGUUAUUGGCACUUUUGUGAUCUGAGAAGCUGCCUGACCAAGUUGCCUAUCAAGAUGAACAUUCCAUCUCUGGAUUCUGCUUGCGGGGAAUUUAUUUGACCAUAUAUUUUUCAAUGCAGCUAUAAAGUACUGGCUUUCUAUCUUGAAUCCGGUGGCCCCAGAAGCAGGUGCUGGCAAGCAGGCCAUGCACUUUUGGUCAUUAAUUAAUCCGCGUUUAACCUGUUUGUAUACAGCGAGAACAUGUAAUGAAUAAUUUCAUACAUGUGCGUGGCUGGGGGCCGAUCAUUUUUGUAAUAAAGCUUUAUCAGUUGUAUAAAUAAAAAAGUAACAUUGGUAUGACA